AUUGAACGCUGGCGGCAUGCCUUACACAUGCAAGUCGAACGGUAACAGGUCUUCGGAUGCUGACGAGUGGCGAACGGGUGAGUAAUACAUCGGAACGUGCCUAGUAGUGGGGGAUAACUACUCGAAAGAGUGGCUAAUACCGCAUGAGAUCUACGGAUGAAAGCAGGGGAUCGCAAGACCUUGUGCUACUAGAGCGGCCGAUGGCAGAUUAGGUAGUUGGUGGGAUAAAAGCUUACCAAGCCGACGAUCUGUAGCUGGUCUGAGAGGACGAUCAGCCACACUGGGACUGAGGCACGGCCCAGACUCCUACGGGAGGCAGCAGUGGGGAAUUUUGGACAAUGGGCGCAAGCCUGAUCCAGCAAUGCCGCGUGCAGGAUGAAGGCCUUCGGGUUGUAAACUGCUUUUGUACGGAACGAAAAGCCCCGGGUUAAUACCCUGGGGUCAUGACGGUACCGUAAGAAUAAGCACUUACAAACUACGUGCCAGCCGCCGCCGUAA
rnacentral:rRNA from 1 species